CUGAUUAGAAGCUUGCUUCUAUGACGUUAGCGGCGGACGGGUGAGUAACACGUGGGCAACCUGCCUGUAAGACUGGGAUAACUUCGGGAAACCGAAGCUAAUACCGGAUAGGAUCUUCUCCUUCAUGGGAGAUGAUUGAAAGAUGGUUUCGGCUAUCACUUACAGAUGGGCCCGCGGUGCAUUAGCUAGUUGGUGAGGUAACGGCUCACCAAGGCAACGAUGCAUAGCCGACCUGAGAGGGUGAUCGGCCACACUGGGACUGAGACACGGCCCAGACUCCUACGGGAGGCAGCAGUAGGGAAUCUUCCGCAAUGGACGAAAGUCUGACGGAGCAACGCCGCGUGAGUGAUGAAGGCUUUCGGGUCGUAAAACUCUGUUGUUAGGGAAGAACAAGUACGAGAGUAACUGCUCGUACCUUGACGGUACCUAACCAGAAAGCCACGGCUAACUACGUGCCAGCAGCCGCGGUAAUACGUAGGUGGCAAGCGUUAUCCGGAAUUAUUGGGCGUAAAGCGCGCGCAGGCGGUUUCUUAAGUCUGAUGUGAAAGCCCACGGCUCAACCGUGGAGGGUCAUUGGAAACUGGGGAACUUGAGUGCAGAAGAGAAAAGCGGAAUUCCACGUGUAGCGGUGAAAUGCGUAGAGAUGUGGAGGAACACCAGUGGCGAAGGCGGCUUUUUGGUCUGUAACUGACGCUGAGGCGCGAAAGCGUGGGGAGCAAA
rnacentral:rRNA from 1 species